UGGAAAGCAGUCCUUUUUUGCCUCAUGAAGAAAGUUAAUCUUUGGAAUAAAGGCAGAUUAUGUAUAAAGACUCUUUUGAUCUCUUUCCAAGGUGGAGGCCACCAGUGUUUCGGAUUCCAUCAAAGUGGCAGCCCUUGAGAACAUACCACAGGCCCCCGAGAACAAGGAGAAAACUCUCCUAUCAGAAAAAGACAAGUGCAUCUCCCCUUGUCCUUCCUCAUGACACAGGGAGGAAGCAAUGCCCAAAGGAUGUCAUGUCUUAGAUUUCAAGCCAAGCCACUGAAACCAAGUAAAGAUGAAGAAAGAGAAGUUUCUGUUUGUACACCUAUGUCCUUGUCACUCACCACCGUUCAGCUGAUGGGAAAGAGAGGCCACCGGAAGGAAAGGCAAGUUCAUCAAGGGCUGGCAAAAUAUUAAUCUGGGAGCUCACGGAUGGGCAGCGAUGCGCGCUCCCCGGCAGCAGGCGUUCCGUUCCUGUUCAGGCUACCUGUGGGCUGCGAGAGCCCACCACCCCACCCUUGCACCGUGGCCACACCGUGACCCGCCAUUCAUCCCCUGCUCCAGACCGACUCCCAGACUGCUUUCCAAGACAGGGCUUGGGAGGGGAGCAGAGAGACAGAAAGUGGGCUGGAGGAGAGGAGAGAGAGCUCUGACUCGGCAGACCACCCUUUCCUCUAAAAAGAUGCUUUCCAUCCCACUAGUUGGAUGGUUUUUAACCACGACUGUGCACAGAAUUGCGGAGAAGCUUUAAAAAAUUAUACUGGGGCUCUACCCGCCUUUGGUUAUGAUUCAGUUUUUUCUGGGGUAAGCCUUGAACAUGGGUAUUUUUAAAUAGCUCUUCAAUGAUGCUGAUACAUAGCCAGACUUGAGAACCAUUGUCCCACUUGGAAAACCCACCUGGAGUGUCCCCUCCCGCCCUCUUACCUUACAGGAUGUGUUUGAUCUGCCACAGUGCUCCUUGCGAUUGGCUGAUGUUAGGAUUUCCCACAGGGCUUUUUAAAAAUGAGGAUGUCUGGAACCAGCCCCCAGAAUUUCUGAUUUAAUUGGCUGGAAGUGGGCCACAGGCGUCAAAGAUAUACCUCCACAAGCUUAUAAUUCCAUACAUACAGGAUUACUCACUGCGGCGUAAUUUGUAAUCAUGAAGACUGGGGACAACCCAAAUGAUGAUCUGUGAGAUUCAUUAAAUAAACUCUGGUCCAACUUCAGCCUAGAAUAGUAUGCAUCUGUUCAAAAAGAAUGAGAAAGAUUCUCUGCACUGAUAUGGAAAGACCACUACGAUAUAUAAAAAGGAAAAAAAAA